rnacentral:rRNA from 1 species
UACGUAGGGGGCAAGCGUUGUCCGGAUUUAUUGGGCGUAAAGGGCGCGUAGGCGGUUUCUUAAGUUUGGAGUGACAGUGGGUGGCUUAACUACCCAAGGCCUCUGAAAACUGGGGAACUUGAGGACCAGAGAGGGACAUAGAAUUCCGGGUGGAGUGGUGAAAUGCGUAGAUAUCCGGAGGAAUACCAAAGGCGAAGGCAGUGUCCUGGAGGGUGACUGACGCUGAGGCGCGAAAGCUAGGGAGCGAACAGG